AGUGAACGCUGGCGGUAGGCCUAACACAUGCAAGUCGAACGGCAGCACAGUAAGAGCUUGCUCUUACGGGUGGCGAGUGGCGGACGGGUGAGGAAUACAUCGGAAUCUACUUUUUCGUGGGGGAUAACGUAGGGAAACUUACGCUAAUACCGCAUACGACCUACGGGUGAAAGCAGGGGAUCUUCGGACCUUGCGCGGUUGAAUGAGCCGAUGUCGGAUUAGCUAGUUGGCGGGGUAAAGGCCCACCAAGGCGACGAUCCGUAGCUGGUCUGAGAGGAUGAUAAGCCACACUGGAACUGAGACACGGUCCAGACUCCUACGGGAGGCAGCAGUGGGGAAUAUUGGACAAUGGGCGCAAGCCUGAUCCAGCCAUACCGCGUGGGUGAAGAAGGCCUUCGGGUUGUAAAGCCCUUUUGUUGGGAAAGAAAAGCAGCAGGUUAAUACCCCGCUGUUCUGACGGUACCUAAAGAAUAAGCACCGGCUAACUUCGUG
rnacentral:rRNA from 1 species